UAAGCACAAGGAAAAAGGUUUCUGAUGCUC
rnacentral:piRNA from 1 species